rnacentral:misc_RNA from 1 species
GAUGAAGAACGUAGCGAAAUGCGAUACGUAAUGUGAAUUGCAAAUUCAGUGAAUCAUCGAGUCUUUGAACGCACAUUGCGCCCCCUGGUAUUCCGGGGGGCAUGCCUGUCCGAGCGUCAUUGCUGCCCUCAAGCACGGCUUGUGUGUUGGGCCCCGUCCUCCGAUCCCGGGGGACGGGCCCGAAAGGCAGCGGCGGCACCGCGUCCGGUCCUCGAGCGUAUGGGGCUUUGUCACCCGCUCUGUAGGCCCGGCCGGCGCUUGCCGAUCAACCCAAAUUUUUAUCCAGGUUGACCUCGGAUCAGGUAGGGAUACCCGCUGAACUUAAGCAUAUCAAUAAGCGGAGAA